rnacentral:tRNA from 1 species
GCCUGGGUGGCUGAGUCGGUUAAGCGUCCGACUUCGGCUCAGGUCAUGAUGUCACAGUUGGUGAGUUCGAGCCCCACAUCAGGCU